rnacentral:rRNA from 1 species
CAGUCGCCGCGGGAAUACGAAGGGGGCUAGCGUUGCUCGGAAUGACUGGGCGUAAAGGGCGCGUAGGCGGAUUGUACAGUCAGACGUGAAAUUCCUGGGCUCAACCUGGGGACUGCGUUUGAGACGUGCGAUCUAGAGUUUGGAAGAGGGUCGUGGAAUUCCCAGUGUAGAGGUGAAAUUCGUAGAUAUUGGGAAGAACACCGGUGGCGAAGGCGGCGACCUGGUCCUUGACUGACGCUGAGGCGCGAAAGCGUGGGGAGCGAACAGGAUUAGAUACCCCUGUAGUCCCUGUCUCUUAUAC